UUGGCCUGAAGUUUGGGGGUUUCAUCCCAGGUCCCACUAUCUACAUGCUUAAGUGUCCUUGAGCAAAACACAUUAUCUAAACAUGUAUAGGCAGUCAGCCACUUCCUAUCUUAUUAUACAGAGGGCUGAGAGCUGAUAUUUCUAAAACAGCUGGUGAAUGUAUUGUUAGCUAAGAUUUUACUGCCCUAAAUUCAUCUUAUUUUGUCAAGGAGCGACUGAAUGCUUACUUUAAUAUUGCAUGUUCAAUGUGGUUUUAACGUGAAAUAUGACCCAGUGUCCUUUCAAAUUUAAACUUUCUACAGUAUUUUCAACUGCUCCUGUUUUAGCCUCAUCUAUGAGGGUUCAAAGUUGCCUAAGUUGAUGUGUUUAAUGGGAUAUUCCGGCGUAAAAUUAAGUUAGGGUCAUCCAGCAGUGUGGACAACCUCUUCUUAUGGAGUGCUUUGGCUCACACUAUCAGCGUUUUCUCUCAGUGUUGCAUGACUUUGGGUGAGAACAGAGAUGAACACACUGUCAGCCACGUAUGUAUUUAUUCAUUUUUUAGUUUUUAGUUCCGCUUUUGUACUGGCACUAUACUGGGGCAGCUGUUUACACUUUCAACACCUUAUUUUCUAUAUUUACAUUUGUAUUGAAUUGACACUUUAUCAUGACUGCCACUUGUUUAACAGAAAGCAAAUUAUUUGUCAUUCUCCAGUGCAGAGCCUUUACAUUUAUUUAUACAGCCGCUUUAUUUCAUUUGAGUUUGUUUGUUCAAGGUUUUCAAAAAUGUGAUGAAGGUUCGCAAAACUAAAAGAGAGCUUUCUUGAAAGCCACAUGUAUAAGCUCUCAAAUACUUUUUGAAUUUUGUUUCUAUCUACUACAGAGGCCGAGACAGCAGCAUUUUUGUAAACCUUAACACUUCAGAAAACCUCAGGAUCUGGGGGCCCUUCUGAAAAUGGCCCUCAGGAUUGUGUUUUUUUCUAUUGAAGGAUUUCUGCAAUUGAGAAAUAUAUUAUUUUUAUUGUUAUAAUCAUAAUAAUACUACAUAAUAAUACAAAACUAUCUGUUCAAAAUUCUAUCUCUUUUUGUGCUUGUGUUGUGUGUGUGUGUGUGUGUGGGUGGGGGUGGGGGUGGGGGUGGGGGGGCACUUGGAGGGGUGCUCGCCCGGGGAGUAAUUUGGUCUAGAACCGCCACUGGUCAGACACAACGUAACACCAAGUUAGACACCCCCUCGAGAGAUGAAUAUUGCUGACCGCUUGCCUCUAAAGUUAUACCAACUUUAGUAACGACCGCAGAUAGCAAUACAGAAAGCCAUACACUGAAACCAAAACGUCACUCUAUAGCCAUGAAUAAUGCUCAGAACAGCACCUAACUUCAUCGACAGUACAUAUAGGGUCCCAGCCAUAGUUCUAGCCACCAAACACCUUUUUAGCUUUGCCUGAUUUCUUUAGCAAAGAGACUAAACACUACUCACCCACUCUCACCCAGCAGGCGAUUGUUUGUACCGAGACCUCCGGGUUGGUCCAUAGACCGCAAUUGGGUAAUGCAGCUCAAGGAAAAACAUUUAUGAUCUUUACUUUAUCAUUUCCUUGUGAUCGUGAUAACCAUCAUAUUUAUCAUUUUGCUCUGCAGAUGCAGUAGUUAUUCUGCCUUUGCAUUUCCAUAAAGUAAUGAUCUCUCUGUAUUGCUAUCUGAGGUUGUUACUUAGGUUGGUAUAACUAGAGAAGCAAGCGGUCUGCAACAUUCAUGUCUCAAGGGCACCCUUACUUAAUUUUACACCGGAAUAUCCCUUUAAGUUUGAUGGCCGCGGUUGUGCGCUUAUUUGCAUUUCAAGGUUUGUGGUAUUAUAGAGGGUCUUUGCCUUUGCAAGAAAUUACGCUUCAAGGAAAGACUGAACACAGAAAAGGUCAUGUGCUAAUCAUAAAAGGAACAGUAAAACAAGACAAUCUGGGGGCUGCUUUUGUAUUUAUUUCCUAAACUUCAGAGGACAAGGUGUGAUGGGCCAGAUCCUCUUAACAGAGUCCUAAUGGAAACCAAGCAGUAAACUCUGUUUAAUAAGGCCUUUCAGGAAAACUUGCCUGUACUUAAAGUUAGAGGGAGUCAGAAACACAUCUAAGCCCCCAACAAUAUCUCUUUAAUGAUGUUUCACCCAUUAAACUUCAAAGAGCCUUGGAGAAAAAGUUCUUUCUGACUUGUUAAGAUCUCUCAGAAACUACAUACUGGUAAAAUCCUAAAAAUGAAGUUUCUCCACAAACCCGGUCUCAUCCUUUUCCCCUCUUUACCUGUUCCUUUUCUUGUCAGUCACCUCUGUCUCUCUGCCACUGUCAAUCUCCUCCAUCUGUGCUUCCUCUGUUCUUACAUCCCAGUCCACUCACCAUCCUCUUCUUGUUUCCUUUCUUACCCACAGCCAUCCUGUACUUUUAUCUCUGUUUUCCACCCCUGUCUUACCCUCUUUUUUGUAUGAUUUUUUUUUCACUUUUUUCCUUCGUUUAGUUGAUAAAAGUUCAACACAUGAAAAGAAACAGUUGCGUCUUUUAAGUUCAAACCCUGAUUUUGUAAUAUGAGCAAGCUGCUUGGGUUUAAUUCAUUUUAAGGGUUUCUUCCUGUUCCAGCUCCACACCUCUCUAAUUCUGCGCUUCACUGAGUGAAAUAUUGAGUUUCAAGGAAUUAUGUUUUUUAUAUCUCUGUCUGUGUAAUGUUACUUGUUUUCAGUGGAUUUACAGAAGACUAUUUCGCUUGGGUCUUCAACCAUGACGAGCGAAAGGUCAAAAGCUGAAUGAGGUUAUGAGGUAAAGCAAGAGAAAAAUGACAAGUUCAGGACUGGCUGUAGAGCUGAAAACAGGGCAGAAAAGAAUUGCACACAGGCAUCAAAAGACAGCUUAAAGUUAAUAAUGUAAAACUAAUGAGAGAAAAGGAAGAACAUUUUAAUCCAGCAAGAAAACGUUUCCUGCAGCAUAUUCCAAAUAAAUGUUAAGCAGUUUAAGUUUCAGUAGGGGAGACC
rnacentral:lncRNA from 1 species